rnacentral:rRNA from 1 species
UUCUUAACAGAGUCGGGACAUGUGCACACCUGGCUUCAUUCCACUCUUCAACCCCUGUGCACUUGUUGUAGGUUUCAGGUCGGACGCGGGGCUUUCGACUUCAUCGUCGAGAGCCUCAAGGAAAGCCUGAGCCUAUGUUUUACCAUACACACGCUUCAGUUAUAGAAUGUAAACAUCGCGUAUAACGCAUUUUAAAUACAACUUUCAGCAACGGAUCUCUUGGCUCUCGCAUCGAUGAAGAACGCAGCGAAAUGCGAUAAGUAAUGUGAAUUGCAGAAUUCAGUGAAUCAUCGAAUCUUUGAACGCACCUUGCGCUCCUUGGUAUUCCGAGGAGCAUGCCUGUUUGAGUGUCAUGGAAUUCUCAACCUUUGAAAGCUUUUAUCGGUUCUCAAAGGCUUGGACUUGGAGGUCGUGUCGGCUCUGCAAAGAAUAUCGACUCCUCUGAAACGUAUCAGUGCGAACCUUUACGGAUCGUCUUCGGUGUGAUAAACGUCUACGCCGUGGUCGUGAAGUAUGAUCGUGUCCGUGCUUCUAACCGUCUCCUUUGCGAGACAAAAACUGUGUUACUUACUAUAAGUAACAUAGGCAUUGACAAUCUGACCUCAAAUCAGGUAGGACUACCCGCUGAACUUAAGCAUAUCAAUAA